GGCUGGUCAGAGUACAGUGGUGUUUACAACUAAUUGAUUGCAAAUAGUUACAGAUUCAUUUGUUCCUUCUCCACUCCCAGUGCUUUACUUGACUAGCCUUGG
rnacentral:Y_RNA from 1 species